AUGUUGCGAUACGACCUUGAAGAUCAGCUCUCCACCAUUUACACAGAUGAAGAGGCCUACUAGCGUCUGCGCGGGACCCAACGGUGGGUGCUCCGGGGUGACGCCAACACCGUCUAUUUCCAGGCGGUGGCGAACGGCCGGCGACGGUGUAACUCCAUCCACUGCCUGUGGGAUGGCGAAACCCCUCUCGUCCGCCCCUCUUCCAUCCGUACCCAUGUUGGUGGCUUCUAUAAAGCCCUGUUUACCCCCACCCCUCGGGGUGGGGCUAGUCUCGCCCCCGACAUUUGGUCGGGUGAGCAAUUGGUCUCUGAGGAGGCCAAUGCGGCUUUAGUGGCCCCCUUCGCCGAAGACGAGGUCCUCAUGGCUAUUAACGGGAUGAACCCCUCUUCGGCCCCGGGACCGGAUGGCCUGCCCGUGAAGUUCUUCAAAACAUUCUGGCCUACCAUCAAGCUGGAGGUUAUGGCCCUGUUUGAGGAAUUCUAUUCGGGUUCUAUGGACCUUGGGCGCCUCAACUAUGGGAUCGUAACCCUCAUCCCCAAGGUUCCGGGCACUUCCGACAUCCACCAGUUCCGGCCUAUUACAGUG
rnacentral:rRNA from 1 species